rnacentral:rRNA from 1 species
UGGGGAAUUUUGGACAAUGGGCGCAAGCCUGAUCCAGCCAUGCCGCGUGCGGGGAGAAGGCCUUCGGGUUGUAAACCGCUUUUGUCAGGGAAGAAAUCUUCUGGGUUAAUACCUCGGGAGGAUGACGGUACCUGAAGAAUAAGCACCGGCUAACUACGUGCCAGCAGCCGCGGUAAUACGUAGGGUGCAAGCGUUAAUCGGAAUUACUGGGCGUAAAGCGUGCGCAGGCGGUUAUGCAAGACAGAUGUGAAAUCCCCGGGCUCAACCUGGGAACUGCAUUUGUGACUGCAUGGCUAGAGUGCGGCAGAGGGGGAUGGAAUUCCGCGUGUAGCAGUGAAAUGCGUAGAUAUGCGGAGGAACACCGAUGGCGAAGGCAAUCCCCUGGGCCUGCACUGACGCUCAUGCACGAAAGCGUGGGGAGCAAACAGGAUUAGAUACCCUGGUAGUCCACGCCCUAAACGAUGUCAACUGGUUGUUGGGAAGGUUCCUUCUCAGUAACGUAGCUAACGCGUGAAGUUGACCGCCUGGGGAGUACGGCCGCAAGGUUG